GCGUGCCCACAAAACAAAAAUUACUAAAAUUUUACAAUGGUAAAUAUGUUUAUGUGUUAAAAAAAUACAAUUUAUAAUCAUUACCAAAAUUAAAAGUUUACAUGAAUAAAGUUAAUCUCUCGGGACUCUCGUAACCAUUUUAAAACAAACGUAUCAACGCUGCAAAACCGAAAGUCUGGCAUCCCGGACUCCUCCCUCGGAAGACCUUAUGCACGCAUAACUUUCACACAAACACUUACAGUGAUACACAAAUAUUAAUGGCAUUUCCUACUAGACAAACUGGUAUCAUUAUAAAUAGCUGAACACUCAUUUGAUAGUAUCAUCAGAG
rnacentral:lncRNA from 1 species